CAUUAUUCUUACAGGAGCACGAUCAAGGACCAAGGAGCUGACUGUUGAAGGCAACGCUUGGACCAGUGUCUAACACCAGAGCCCAAUCAGCUUCAAGUCGGAUCCGCUACCAACUCAUUUUCCAAGUCCCGCAUUUCCAAACCCUAGCGAAAACCUCCCUUCUGUUUCUUCUCUUUCCCGGCUCGAACACUGACGCAUGCUCGCAAAAACGAUGCUACCCUCCUCCUCCCGCCUCCGUCCCCUCCUCUACUCCCUCCUUCUCUCCACCCCCAAAGCCCGCCCCUUCUCCACCGCCAUCUCUCAAGACUCCGAUCUCUCGCACCCCACUUCGCCCCCCACCGAAGAAUCCAUCCUUUAUGUCCUCAAGAAGCUCGACAAAAAGCCCCAAAAGGCCUUGUCCUUCUUCAAUUGCAUCACCUCCCAGUAUGGCUUCAAGCCCGCCCACCCCACCUACAAUCUCAUGCUCCGCAUCCUCGGCCACAAGGACUCCGUCAAGGAUUUCUGGGCGUUCCUCAAGUCCAUGGACCACGCCGGCCACACCAUCGACCGCAGCACCUACGUUACCCUCCUUGCCAACUUCAAGAAGCAUAAGAUGGCCGCCGAGUCGUCGGCGUUAACCCAGUUCUAUUCCCGAACCAUGGCCAAGGCCGCCUCUGAUACCGCCAUAGAUUCCGCCGUCAAAAUUAUUCUGGACGCCGAGGAAUGGAACGAGGCGGCGGAGAAGAAGUUGCAGGACCUGGAUUUAUCGUUGUCAGAGAUCAUGGUCGCGAAGGUCCUUCAAGAAUUGCGAGAUUGCCCGUCAAAGGUGCUGGCUUUUUUCCGGUGGGUGGGGCAGAGGCCAGGGUAUAAGCAUGGGUCGGUGGCAUACAAUGCUAUGGCUCGUGUACUCGGACAGGGUGAUUUCAUUGGAGAAUUCUGGAGCUUGGUUCAGGAGAUGAAAGGAGAGGGGCACGAGAUGGAUAUCGACACGUAUAUAAAGCUCUCAAGGCGGUUCCAGAAGACGAAAAUGAUGAGGGAAGCAGUGGAGCUUUAUGAAUUCAUGAUGGAUGGCCCCUACAAGCCAGCGAUUCAGGACUGCGGCAUGCUUCUGAGGCAGAUUGCACUGAGUGGAAUGCCGGAUCUCGAGUUGGUUUUUAGAGUUGUGAGGAAGUAUGAGGCUGCUGGGUAUUCGCUGUCCAAGGUCGUCUAUGAUGGGAUUCAUAGGUCACUGACCAGCAUUGGGAAGUUUGAUGAAGCUGAUGAGAUCUUGAAAAAGAUGAAGCUUGCAGGUUAUGAACCAGAUAACAUCACUUAUAGCCAGUUGGUCUAUGGUCUCUGUAAGGCUAAGAGAUUGGAUGACGCUUGCAAGGUUUUGGAUGAGAUGGAAGCAGGUGGCUGCAUUCCUGACCUGAAGACCUGGACAGUUUUGAUUCAAGGGCAUUGUUCGGCCGGUGAGGUGAAUAAGGCCUUAGAGUUAUUGGCAAAGAUGAUUGAGAAGAAUUGUGAAGCAGAUGCUGAUGUUCUGGAUGUCUUGGUGAAAGGUUUGUGUAGUAAGAGAAGGGCAGAUGGUGCCUACACUUUGGUUGUUGAAAUGGUGGAGAGUGCCCGUAUAAGGGCUUGGCAAGCGACUUAUAAGUAUUUGAUUCAAGAGCUACUGAGUGUCAGAAUGCUUGAAGAGGCAUUGAAGCUUCUCAAUACGAUGAAGAGCCAUAAGUUUCCUCCUUUUGCAGAUCCUUUUCCUCCCUAUAUAGCCAAAUAUGGGACAAUUGAAGAUGCCAGAGAUUUUCUGAAAGCAUUGACAGUGAACGACUACCCAUCAGCUACUGCCUAUUUACAUGUCUUCAAGUCCUUCUUCCAGGAAGCAAAAACUGGAAUACAAUGUGGAUGACUACACCGAACACCAACCAUGACAAGUUGUUGCAACUACUUGUAAGGUAGGCAACAGGAUCUCUUGUUGAAACUGAAGAGAAGAAAGCAUGCUGAUGGGUUCAGAAAGUGUAAAUCUCCUGACAACAUUAAUAAUGUUGAUUGUAUGAUUUCUCAAAGUGAAGUUAUUCUGGAGGAUCUGAUAAUGCGACAAAUGACACUACUUAACCAGCAAUUUACUUUGAAGGAGAAUCUGAUGCACUUUUUUAUCUGCAAUACAAUCAAAAGGCAGGAAAUAUAUGGUCCAAGAUUUAAUUAAAGUCUGAGAAUAUGAUCCAAGAUUUGAUGAAAGUCUGAGAAUAUGAAGUUAUAAAGAAGGCAAUUGAGCAAGCACGUAUUUGUUCAAAAGGUGAAGUUUGUGCUGAUUUAGUGAAAAAAAGGACUUGAUCUACACACAUUACAUGGCUUACACCAUCCUCAUAAAUAUGCUGAAAGAAUUUUAAAGGGCAUUCUUUGGUUUGCCGGUUGACAUUCACAAGGGAUUACAGAGAAUCAAAGGGCUGAAGAAAGAUGAGUUCAAGCUCUUCGGUGCUGUGGAGAAUCAAUCUCUGCUGAAGCUAUGAGAAUUUAUCUACUGGAGCUACCGUCGGGAAGAACUCUAGAAUUAGAAGACUAUUAUUACAUGCCAAAGAUUAUGAGAAAUAUCAUAUCUGUACCUCUUUUGAUAUAAUAUGGAUAUGAAAUAAAAUUUAUAGACA